UCCCCGAUGGUGUAAUCGGUAGCACGCGGGACUUUGAAUCCCUCAGUCCAGGUUCGAAUCCUGAUCGGGGAACCA
rnacentral:tRNA from 1 species